rfam:Ovis aries breed Texel chromosome 3, whole genome shotgun sequence.
UCCCUCAUAGCUCAGUUGGUAAAGAAUCUGCCUGCAAUGCAGGAGACCCAGGUUCGAUUCCUGAGUCAGGAA